CCAAUCCUGACUCAGGGAGGUAGUGACAAGAAAUAACAACACUGGAAAUUUUAUUUCUAGUGAUUGGAAUGAUGGGAAUCCAAACCCCUUUCAGAGUAACAAUUGGAGGGCAAGUCUGGUGCCAGCAGCCGCGGUAAUUCCAGCUCCAAUAGCGUAUAUUAAAGUUGUUGCAGUUAAAAAGCUCGUAGUUGGAUAUCUGCUGGAAGCAGCCAGUCCGCCCUUUGUGGGUGUGCACUUGGUGAAUUCUGGCAUCCUCCUGAUUGGUGUUACCAUCACUUGAUUGUGUUGGUGGCAGCUGUCAGGACUGUUACUUUGAGAAAAUUAGAGUGUUUCAAGCAGGCUUGUUGCCUUGAAUACUGCAGCAUGGAAUAACAAGAUAGGAUUUCGGUUCUAUUUUGUUGGUUUCUAGGACUGAAGUAAUGAUUAAUAGGGACAGUUGGGGGCAUUCGUAUUUAACUGUCAGAGGUGAAAUUCUUAGAUUUGUUAAAGACGAACUACUGCGAAAGCAUUUGCCAAAGAUGUUUUCAUUAAUCAAGAACGAAAGUUAGGGGCUCGAAGACGAUCAGAUACCGUCGUAGUCUUAACCAUAAACUAUGCCGACUAGAGAUAGGAAAACGUCAUCCUUGACUUCUCCUGCA
rnacentral:rRNA from 1 species